rnacentral:lncRNA from 1 species
AGCAUCAUUAAUUCCAGAGAGACUGUAUGUAUGCAUCUCCGAGACUGUGUGUGUGACUGUGGAUUCCGACUGCUUUGCAAAUGGGUAUCUCUCCACAAGAGCUGUGUGUCCAGCAUUCAUUAAGACAGACCUCUCAGUAACUGGGGACCUGGCCUGCCUAGCCCGCUGAGCUUGGGGAAGAUCGGAUGGAGAUGAGUUGAUUAUCUUCCACGAAGUAAUAGCUCACCACCUGCCGGGGUUUAAACUACUUAUGCAGCAUCCCCACACCCUUGGACUCUUGGCAAUUCUGCUUUCUUGGGGAAAAACCUGGGGCAAGAGGAGGUCGUUUUUAACAAGUUAGUGUCCUCUCCCUCCCUUACAAGUUGAUGCAAAGGCUCAGGCUGUGACUCCACUGGAUUGCACCUUCACAUCCAAAUAGAAGAAG